rnacentral:rRNA from 1 species
UACGUAGGUGGCAAGCGUUAUCCGGAUUUACUGGGCGUAAAGGGUGUGCAGGCGGGCGGUCAAGUGGUGUAUGAAAUAUCCUGCUCAACCAGGAGAGGUUAUGCCAGACUGACCGUCUUGAGUGCGAGAGAGGGGCGUGGAAUUCCGGGUGUAGUGGUGAAAUGCGUAGAGAUCCGGAGGAACCCCAGAGGCGAAGGCGGCGCCUGGCUCGCAACUGACGCUCAUACACGACAGCAUGGGGAGCGAACGGG